UUUUUUAGCCUUUUAUUCAGCUGUGCCACAGGCAUUACUGUAAGGACAGACCUGCAGACUUGCGUUUUCAGGAAGCCAGCUCCCUAUACCCAUGGCCUGGAAAAUAACCAGCACGGUUAGGUGCCCUACCACAUCCUGCCCAGUGGGUUACAUGUAGGACCCCCUGAGCAGCUGCCAGGGGGUGUUUUUCUGCCUUCCAGCUGGACAUAGUUUCCACAAGCCCAGGAUCACAAGCAGGCAGUGAUCCUGGCCAUGAAUUCAUCCAUGUUGGCAGCAAUGGGCAGUUAAUGAGUGUUGUUAAAAUUGUAUGCAUUUCUGAACAUUUAUUUAUCUUUGCAUCUUUAAAAAUCAAAGUUAGAAUUUCUACAAUGUGUAAUUUACCAUAUGUGUCAUCUGUUUUGACUUUAAUACUGUAUCUUAAAAUGUGCUCAAGAAUUGUCAAUGUCAGCUACCCUAUGAUCCAGGAAUCACACUACUGGGUUUCCCCCACAAAUACAAAAAUACUAAUUCAAAGGGAUACAUGCACCCCUAUGUUUAUAGCAGCAUUAUUUACAAUAGCCAAGAUAUGGAAGCAGCCCAAGUGUCCAUCCAUAAAUGAAUAGAUACAGAAGAGGUAAUAUAUAUGUAGACAUGAUGGAAUAUUACUCAGCCAUAAAAAAGAAUGAAAUCUUGCCAUGCAACAACAUGGAUGGAGCUUGAGAGUAUCACGCUAAGUGAAUAAAGUAGUCAGAAAAAGACAAAUACGAUAUGAUUUCACUCAUAUGAGGAAAAAAAAGAGAGAAAGAAACCAAGAAACAGAUUUCAGUGUGGAGAACACACUGAUGCUCACCACAGGGGAGAGGGCCAAGGGAGGAGGGAAUAGGUUUUAAGGAUUGAGGAGGGCACUUUUCCUAAGAGCAUCGGGUGAUGUAUAGACUAUACAUAUGGAAGUGUUGAAUCACUGUACUGUACAUCUGAAACUAUUACACUGUAGGUUAACUAACUGGAAUUAAAAUUAAAGACUUAAUAAUAAUAAAAAAGAAUUGUCUGUGUCUUUAAACAUUUAUCAACUUCACCCAAAGACGAGAAAUUUUAAGAAGAUGGCUGUAUGUAUGAAAGCUCUUUAAAAAAAUUCAAAUGCUAAUGAAUAAGGAGAGAUAUAAUGAAUAAGGAGAGAUCAAAGAUAUAAAUGGAAAUGCUAUUGAAAGUCUCAGAGUCAAAAAUAGAGACCAGGGAUGGAAGCAAGAAGAGUAGAUGGCCAAACUAAUCACAGGAUCACAGACACUCAACGAGCAUGGCCACCAGAAGGAGCCCCCACAGCACAUGAGCGUCAC
rnacentral:lncRNA from 1 species